ACCGGCCAUCAUUUUGACGCAGCUUCUUUCUUCUAAUGUUGUUUGCUUUGCAGCUAUUUUCUAAAUCGAUUGGCGUUGUAAAUUUUUUUUCAAUGGGAUUUCUAAUAGUAUGACGACAUUAAAAAAUUGGUAAAAUUGUUCGUCUCUUGAUUUUUUUUAUUUUUUUUUCUGAAUUUAGUGAUCUAUAUAUUUUACUCUCUGAUUGUUAUCUACUCAACUCAUAUAUUCUGUUCUUGGAUGAUUCCCCGUAAAUAGGAUUUCUUAAUUAGGUAAAAAUAUAUGAUUUGUCCGGAAUAGAUACUCCGUGAUAUUUUCCUAUAUAGAACGGCCAAGCAAACCAAGUUCCCUCUCCUUUUCCUCCCUGUUGGCACUUUGUAAUGGCUGGAAAAAACUCAUGCUAGCCUUCUCCUUCAGAAGCAACACGAAGAUUUUCUGUUUCCACAUGCUGAUUAUGCAGACACGCAACAUAUAGAUAUGAGAAGAAUGUAAAGUUGUUGUCUCAACGGGUCGAAGUGCAACAGAGCUUAUUCGGUCGGGCUAAAUAUUGUUAUCGAUUCGAGAGGCAGUAACAGUUUUUUACCACUCUGCAUCCGUUCGAUGCAAAAGCCAAACCCAAUUGUACAUGUUGUUUCUCUUCCUGUUUUUUUUUUUUCCUCUUGUGGUUUAUGAUUUUUUUUUGUCUGAUCUAUUUUGUUUUUUACUUUUCUGAUACCGUCGAUCAGGCACCUAUUGUAAACUUUUUGUUGCUUGAUCAUGCACCUGUAACUAGGCAUACAUGGAGCAAUAUCAAGGUAUAAACUUAUUGAUUCUUGCAAAUAUUGUUGUGGUAUCAAACACCACAAUUGUUUUCUAUUUUGCAGGGAUCUUAUUGAUGCAUCGAAAAGAGUUUUGCAACUCUUAUUAUUGUUUAUCGCUGCUUCACCGGCUGAAUCAGGAAAGUUGAAAAUCGAGAGGUGAAAUUGAGGUAUGGCUUGAGGAAAUUUAAAUCGUGAGGAUGUAUAAAAUAAGAAGGAGUUGAUGUUGCUGACAAAUUUGCUGAAUUAAGUGCUACUGAAAUUGAAGGAGGAGAGGAGGGUAUCUAGAGAGUUGUCUUGCCAGAUACAUGAUGAAGGGAAAAAGUUCUCUUAUCAGACUGGUGUUAAAGUCGUUGUUGCAUAUGGUGGAGCACCGAUGCACAAGCAGGGAUGUCAUUCAUGCUAGAGAUUUAGAACACCAGCAGGCAUGGUCUCGAGUUCAAAGUCCAUAAUCUUAACUGGAUGAACAUGGCUUGGAGAUCUGGUUUACAAUCUCCUAUGCGUUCAAGAGAUGCAGCUCCAAUACAGACACCGCCUGUCGUUGAGCCUUGGUGCCGAGAUAUUCUUAGUUUGUCUACGGAAUGUCAACUGAUAGUGCAUGACUUUUCACAAAAUCUCAAGGAUGUGGUGCAGCAGCAACAAGUAACAACUUCUGUAACAGAAAGAUUAUUGGUGCACAACAUUUUCCAGCAGCUGCUGUUGCUUAAAUGGUUUUUUCCGUAAACUAAGCAUCUCCUCUUGAUGGUGAUGGGCACGAAAGGUUUUUGUUUGCCUGGGAUUCUCAUCACUGAUACCAGCAAGUCAAUGGUGAGCAGUUACACGAUUCCAAAUUCGAAUCAGCACAGUUGCAUACUAGGGUGAAUGUUCUCAUAUACAUCUUAAUCUUUUUAGAGUGUGUUUUGGAAACUCCAUUUUUGUAACAAACAUCUAUAUCACUGCCAUUUUUUGAAUGUGUGUUUAAGACUAGCAGGUUAACUUGAAUGAAUGUAAAUGUGUUACACUAGUACGUUAAUGCGAAUGUGAAUUAU